UACCUCGUGGUGUAAUGAUUAGCACAUUCGGCUCAAUACCGAGGUAUCUCUGGUUUCAAACCCUGGGCGAGGAAG